UGGGCGGCGUGCCUAAUACAUGCAAGUCGAGCGGACAGAUGGGAGCUUGCUCCCUGAUGUUAGCGGCGGACGGGUGAGUAACACGUGGGUAACCUGCCUGUAAGACUGGGAUAACUCCGGGAAACCGGGGCUAAUACCGGAUGCUUGUUUGAACCGCAUGGUUCAGACAUAAAAGGUGGCUUCGGCUACCACUUACAGAUGGACCCGCGGCGCAUUAGCUAGUUGGUGAGGUAACGGCUCACCAAGGCGACGAUGCGUAGCCGACCUGAGAGGGUGAUCGGCCACACUGGGACUGAGACACGGCCCAGACUCCUACGGGAGGCAGCAGUAGGGAAUCUUCCGCAAUGGACGAAAGUCUGACGGAGCAACGCC
rnacentral:rRNA from 1 species